AUAGCGUAUAUUUAAGUUGUUGCAGUUAAAAAGCUCGUAGUUGGAUUUCGGUUGAGAACGGCCGGUCCGCCGUUUGGUGUGCACUGGCUGGUUUCAACUUCCUGUAGAGGACGCGCUCUGGCUUCACGGCUGGACGCGGAGUCUACGUGGUUACUUUGAAAAAAUUAGAGUGUUCAAAGCGGGCUUACGCUUGAAUAUUUCAGCAUGGAAUAACACUAUAGGACUCCUGUCCUAUUUCGUUGGUCUCGGGACGGGAGUAAUGAUUAAGAGGAACAGUUGGGGGCAUUCGUAUUUCAUUGUCAGAGGUGAAAUUCUUGGAUUUAUGAAAGACGAACUUCUGCGAAAGCAUUUGCCAAGGAUGUUUUCAUUAAUCAAGAACGAAAGUUGGGGGCUCGAAGAUGAUUAGAUACCAUCCUAGUCUCAACCAUAAACGAUGCCGACUAGGGAUUGCAGGAUGUUAAUUGAUGACUCCUGCAGCACCUUAUGAGAAAUCAAAGUUUUUGGGUUCCGGGGGGAGUAUGGUCGCAAGGCUGAAACUUAAAGGAAUUGACGGAAGGGCACCACCAGGCGUGGAGCCUGCGGCUUAAUUUGACUCAACAC
rnacentral:rRNA from 1 species